AGGGUGAAUCUCAAGAGGAAAAGGAUUUAAGUGCAGAUGUGGUAGCCAUCAGAGGAAAGAAGUUAUUUUAAGAUAUGAGUGUGGAUAUCGUUUUAUAAAGAAGGGUGAAGAAUGACAAGAGAAAAGGGUUACAUACAGACGAUCUGUGGAGCAGCUGACUAAGUGAUGUGCAAAUUAGACUGGCAUUAUCACUAAGUCUAAGGUUUUAGGGCUCCUCAAGAGUAUCCUUUGGAAUUGAUCAUAAUGAUGCCCCCAGUGAUCCUAAGGAAUGCCCUGAAAUGCGGUAGCUGGAGCUAGUCCC
rnacentral:lncRNA from 1 species